CCCCGCCCCUGGCCCAGCCCCGCCCCGCGGCCCGUUAAGAGCCCCCCAGAGCCGGUAGCUGGGGGCAGACGGUCACUCGUUGGGGGGGGGGGGGAGCCGAUGUGGUUGUCAUGGCGACAGCGUGGCUGGCCAGAGCCCUGAGGGCCGCUGCUGCGGGUAGAAGGCUGCGCGGCCCCCGGGGCGCUGGGGACUCCCGGGAGCUGAGCUGCAGCGCGCGGCGGCGGGCGGCGAGUGGCACUAGCCCCGGGCGCCGGCUCAGCACCGCCUGGGCGCCGGCUCAGCCCGCGCGAGAGGAGACGGAGGGCGCGGAGCACGACACCCACUCUCCAGCCGCCGAGGAGCAGUCGUGGACGCCGGCCCCCGCGCCCCCGGCGCGCUCGGAAUCCCCCGGACCUCCGGCCGGCCGGUCGCUGGUGCAGCGGGACAUCCAGGCCUUCCUGAACCAGUGCGGGGCGAGCCCCGGAGAGGCGCGCCAGUGGCUCUCGCAGUUCCAAACCUGCCACCACUCCUCCAACAAGCCCUUCGCUGUCAUCGAGGUGGACGAGGAGGUGCUCAAGUGCCAGCAGGCCGUGUCCAGCCUGGCCUUCGCGCUGGCCUUCCUGCAGCGGAUGGACAUGAAGCCGCUGGUGGUCCUGGGGCUGCCUGCUGCCACAUCGCCCUCGGGCUGUCUUCCUUUCUGGGAGGCCAAGACACAGCUUGCCCAGAGCUGCAAAGUGCUGGUGGACGCGUUGCGACAUAAUGCCGCCACUGCGGUGCCUUUUUUUGGCGGUGGGUCAGUGCUGGGCGCCGCCGAGCCGGCCCCCCAUGCCAGCUAUGGCGGCGUCGUUUCGGUAGAGACAGACCUGCUGCAGUGGUGCCUGGAGUCGGGCAGCAUCCCCAUCCUGUGCCCCAUCGGGGAGACGGCGGCGCGCCGCUCCGUGCUCCUGGACCCGCUGGAGGUGACCGCAUCGCUGGCCAAGGCGCUGCAGCCCACCAAAAUCAUCUUCCUCAACACCACGGGCGGCCUGCGCGACGGCAGUCAGACGGUCCUGAGCAAGGUAAACCUGCCGGGCGACCUGGACCUGGUGACCAGCGCUGAGUGGGUGAGCAGCAAAGAACGGCAGCAGAUGCGGCUGAUCGUGGACGUGCUCAGCCGCCUGCCCCGCCACGCCUCCGCGGUCAUCACCGCCGCGGGCACGCUGCUCACCGAGCUCUUCAGCAACAAGGGGUCGGGGACCCUGUUCAAGAAUGCGGAGCGGACGCUGCGAGUGCGCAGCCUCGACAGCCUGGACCUGCACCGCCUGGUGAACCUGAUCAACACCAGCUUCGGCAAGAAGCUCCGCGACGACUACCUGGCCUCGCUGCGCCCGCGGCUGCACUCCGUCUACGUCUCUGAGGGGUACAACGCAGCCGCCAUUCUGACCAUGGAACCUGUACUGGGGGGCACCCCGUACCUGGACAAGUUUGUGGUGAGCUCCAGUCGCCAGGGCCAAGGCUCCGGCCAGAUGCUGUGGGAGUGCCUGAGGCGGGACCUGCAGACGCUUUUCUGGCGCUCAAGGGUCACCAACCCCAUCAAUCCCUGGUACUUCAAGCACAGCGAUGGCAGCUUCUCCAACAAGCAGUGGAUCUUCUUCUGGUUUGGUUUAAGCGACAUCCGGGACUCCUAUGAGCUGGUCAGUCAUGCCAAAGGGCUGCCAGACUCCUUCUGCAAGCCAGCUUCUGACCCAGGCAGCUGACCCUCACCACCAGCCCUGCUGGCCCUGGAACAGCCAGGGUGGACCAAAAGCCAGGCCUGCUGGAGGUGACCCCGGCAGUCACAGGCGUGUUGGCCGAGCGAUCUACAGGGAGAAAGCAGCCCCUAAACUCUGCCAGGGGCAGGCACUCAUGUGGAGAAACACAGGAAGGACGCACCCAAGACUCCCACUUGCUCCAAAGCCACAAUUAAUGGCCUCCGAUAUCUGUUCUGGGGAUUUGGAGGCGGGGGAAGACUCGCCUAUGAGGGCUCUACUCAGGGUUAACCUUAAGGGAGGCGCAUGGAUAAGGAGAAGACCACGGACCACAGGGGGCUGUGGCAGUACCAAUGCCCAAGAGCAGCCUCUGCUUCCCCCUCAGAAAAGGGGUGGGGUCAAGUACACCUCUCAGUGUACUUAACACAGAACCCAGCUCGGUGGCUUAAGGCAAACUGCUACCUCCUCUGAGCCUCAAGUCUCAGCCUAAUAAUGGACACUUAAUAUUCUCUUCCUGUGGUUGUUCUCACCAAAGGCUCAUUCAAAAAGAGCUGACACCAAACGGGGAGGAAAAGACAAGCAACAACCGGGGGGACUGAAUGAGAGAUCAAAAAAAUAUACUUCGGAGAGGCUCAGAUUCUUGGAGAGAGAGCCAAAGGACUGUGGGGGCCCUCAGAGCAGGGGAAAGGUAACCAGAGGACUAAGAUGAGCUUAACCAGAUAUGGUCGUUCAAAACCCAGGCCCAAUGGCAAAGCGCCCAUGGGAAGAACACAGAAGCGAAGCCAAAUGUCUAUAUAAAAUGUUUAUUUUUGGAGGACUGUGUGGUCUG